UCGGACGUGGUGUAGGGAACACAGCGAGCAUCAUUACCACAGUCAACCAUAAAUGGUAGCCCGCAGUCCGGGGUUCGACUCCCUGCGUCCGAA